rnacentral:rRNA from 1 species
GACGAACGCUGGCGGCGUGCUUAACACAUGCAAGUCGAACGGAAAGGCCUCUUUCGGGGGGUUCUCGUGUGGCGAACGGGUGAGUAACACGUGCGUAACCUGCCCUUGUCUUUGGGUUAACUUCAGGAGACUGGGGCUAAUACCUGCUAGGAGCUCCUGUUGCCUGCAGGGUGUUGGAAAGUUUCGGGGGUUGGGGAUGGCCUAUCGGCUUAUCCGCUUGUUGGUGGGGUAGUGGCUUACCAAGGCUUUGACGGGUAGCCGGCCUGAGAGGGUGACCGGCCACAUUGGGACUGAGAUACGGCCCAGACUCCUACGGGAGGCAGCAGUGGGGAAUAUUGCACAAUGGGUGGAAGCCUGAUGCAGCAACGCCGUGUGCGGGAUGACGGCCUUCGGGUUGUAAACCGCUUUCGCUCAUGACGAAGCUUUGUGUGACGGUAGUGGGUAAAGAAGCACCGGCUAACUACGUG